AGCGUUAAUUCUUUAGUACAGUGUUCAUUAACAUAAAAGUGUUGCACCAAUAAUAACAAUAUCAAGCUAAUGAGUGUAAUCCUAAAAGUAGGGUCACGACAUAAAAAGAUAUAUGUAAUCUACUCCUAUUUUUGUAGUGUAUAGAAGUUGUUUCUGAUUUAUAAUCGGCAAUCCUCCUCCAUUAUCUUAUCUUGAGAUCGACAAUGUGAACGAACUUACAUGGAAGGAGUUAUAUAAGCAUUACACGAUUGUAGUAUCUAGUACCUCAUACUUGAUUUUUUUGUAUUAAAUAAAACUGAUUCUCACUAAUGAAUUAAACUCUUUCAUGAUGGUUGUCUUUGGAUGUUUGUUGCUGUUGCCUGAAUUUCUACAGGGUUGAGAAUCUAGAGCUACAAAUCAAGAAGGGCUCAUUGGAAUUGUGGAUUGUGGAUGCUAACAUAAGGAAAUUUUAUUUAGUAUUAAAUGUGUUUUCCUUUUUAGUUCUUCUUAAUUCUAACAUCUUGGUUGAAUAUAUGCACUUUACCUUCAACAUUCAUUUAGAUAUUAAGAUUGUAAUUCAUUAGUUCCAAAAGAAUGAUCUACUUUUCUUAUUGGUCUGUUUAAAAAAGAAUGUUUUUUUUUCUUUUUUUGGUAAUAUUUUAAUUUCAGUUUUCCACGUGACAUGUUUAAGGACACAAGAUUAAAGGUUAAUUUUUUUUGUAUUUUACAUAAUUUUAAUUUAGGACCACAACAUUCAAAAGUCUGCUUUAUUUUCUUAAAUUCUGUGUCAAGCCAAGCUAGAUCAUUCUCUGUGAAGUGAAGGAGUAGUCCAUUUUGAUUGUCUAAAUGUAGUAUACUAACAAGUUAAAGAAGUUGUAAAUAUAUGCAACCUAACAACAUGAAUUUGUACGGAUUACGAACCAGGACCAGAUCAAAAGUCUUCUCUUCAUCAACUUUCUUGGCGUGAGAGGAACUUGCAACUAUCUCUCCAAAAAAUCAAGGCUAGAAAAAUGGAAUUGGAGAAACAAGGAAACAUGGAUGUUCAAUUUGCUUCCCAACAAACAACUCUCCAACAGUUUGAUAUUAUUAAUUGGAUUAAUCCAUACAGUUCAAGUAUCCAAGGAAACAUAUGUCAAGAUCAAAUGGACAAAAGAAAGAGAAUAUCAAACUAUUUUAGCAAUUACAUAUAUACCCAUUUCUUUGCAAGUUCUUCAUGGUCUAGAAAUAUACCAUUUUCUCAAAUUCAAGACCCGUCACCUUAUAUCCCAUUUCAGAGUCAAGAGCAAAACAUGGUGGUAGAUGUCCAGCAGAACGCGACACAAACAUUUGAAAAAUCACAGGCCUAACUCGAGUACACUCGUCAUUAAGGGUACACAAUUGAACAAUCCCUCCCAAUUAGGUUUGGAAUAUGCCCAUUCAAAUUGGAAUGACAACAUUAAUAAUAAUAAUAACAACAGUCACAUCAUUCAACUGAAUGAUCAUUCUUCAGCUCAAAGCAAUGGAAUAACUUCUAAUAUUAAUGGAUUAAACUAUUCCAUGGAGAGAAUACCAUGGGAGACUAUGAAUAUCAUGUUGAAAACACACUUGAGAAUGAUGCAUGGGAAUGAGAUGGUGUUUUCCUCAAUGAAUCUUUAAAUGGAGAAGAAUUCAGAAACUUGGAUCGAUCAAUCAAUGACAAAUAAUCUCUUUUUAAUUGUCUAAUUUUUUAUAUGUGGUCCAUUUAAUAAAUCAUAGACUCUUGAUAUUUUGAUUUUUAAUUUACUUAUUUCAGUAUGUAAGACAUCAUCUUAAAUGCUUGUAGGGUGUCAUACAUAUAUUAAAGUAUGAAUAAUAAUAAGGACCUAAGAAUGUUAGAAAUAAAUUGUAUGUUGGCAACAUCAUCUGUAGUACUACUUCAUAUUAUAAAGUGCUUGAAUGGAAAAUAGAUAAAGUUCUUAUUAAUUAAACUAAGUUGCAUAAAUUCCUUUAUACUUUUGUUCAAGGUUGGAAGUUGAAUUCCACGCCUUGGCCUAUUUAAGAUGGUGACACUUAAGAAAAUUUCUGGAAAAUACUAUCAAGAUUUGCUCUGAUCUGAUCCCUCGAGUCAUGAUGACACCUGCUAUAACCGAUCAGUAGUUAAUUAAAACCAUACUCAGAAUGACUAGUAAUGAGUAAAGUGUAGAACUAGGCAUAACCAAUACUAGACAAUAUAUAUGACAAAAGCGGAAGCAAACAAAAUCUAUAUACAAUAGAAUCCCUCCAUAAACCUUGAAAUCACGAGUACAGUGUUGUCUAAUAUGAAAAAUAGAAGUCCCAAAAUCGGACCACAACAAGUCACCUCAAAGGCAGAAAAACUAGCUAUAUAUAUAUAUAGCUAUAUAUAUGUAUAGCAUGAACCAUCACCACUUGUAGUUGGU